UUUAGCGAUAACGAACGAGACUUUGACGUUUUUAAAUUAAGCUAGGCUAGCUUUGGCUGGUCGCUGGCUUCUUAGAAGGACUAUUUGCUCAAGCAAAUGGAGGUGCGAAGCAAUAACAGGUCUGUGAUGCCCUUAGAUGUUCUGGGCCGCACGUGCGCUACACUGACAGAGCCAACGAGUUCUUCCUUAGCCGAAAGGUUUGGGUAAUCUUGUUAAACUCUGUCGUGCUGGGGAUAGAGCAUUGCAAUC
rnacentral:rRNA from 1 species